rnacentral:rRNA from 1 species
UACGUAGGGUGCGAGCGUUAAUCGGAAUUACUGGGCGUAAAGCGUGCGCAGGCGGUUUUGCAAGCCGGAUGUGAAAUCCCCGGGCUCAACCUGGGAAUGGCAUUCGGGACUGCAAGGCUGGAGUGCGGCAGAGGAGACUGGAAUUCCUGGUGUAGCAGUGAAAUGCGUAGAUAUCAGGAGGAACACCAAUGGCGAAGGCAGCUCACUGGGACGUUACUGACGCUGAGACGCGAAAGCGUGGGGAGCAAACAGG